rnacentral:rRNA from 1 species
UACCAGCUCUCCGAGAGGUAGGGAUGAUUAUUGGGCUUAAAGCGUCCGUAGCCGGCUUGGCAAGUUUCCUGUUAAACUCUGCGACUUAAUCGUUGAAUCGCGGGAAAUACUACUAGGCUAGGAGGCGGGAGAGGUCAACGGUACUUCUGGGGUAGGGGUGAAAUCCUAUAAUCCCGGGAGGACCACCAGUGGCGAAGGCUGUUGACUAGAACGCGCUCGACGGUGAGGGACGAAAGCUGGGGGAGCGAACCGGAUUAGAUACCCGGGUAGUCCCAGCUGUAAACGAUGCGGGCUAGGUGUUGGGAUGGCUACGUGCCAUUUCAGUGCCGCAGGGAAGCCAUUAAGCCCGCCGCCUGGGGAGUACGGCCGCAAGGCUGAAACUUAAAGGAAUUGGCGGGGGAGCACCACAAGGCGUGAGGCUUGCGGUUC